rnacentral:tRNA from 1 species
AUCAUAUAGUGGUUAAGAGAGUGGGCUCUAGAACCAGAAUUCCUGGGUUCAAAACUCAGCCACUCUGCU